CUCAUCCUGACAUAAAUGAAGAUCUAGUCGUUUAAGAUCGGAUGAAGGGAAAAGCCCCUCAGCAACUCCUCUACACCCCUACAAUCUCGUUAGGAGCAAAAGGAAAACCCUCGCCCUAACAUAAAAAAAAAGAAGAAAAAGCGACGAGGUACACCAGAGAUAAAAAAAAAUGAACUACAUCCAAGGUUCAAGGAACCUCAUCUCAACGAGGAAGAAAACCCUUAUCAAAAAUCUCCAGUCCCUAAGGGCGAAUCAUUACGGCGA
rnacentral:lncRNA from 1 species